UUGAAAACUUGGAGCACAGGUUCACUUUGGUGCAAAUUUAAGUGAUAUCUACCGAGGCGACAUGGAAGCACUCGACACCAAGACAGGCUUAUCUUGGAGGCACUCAUCCAAGACAGGUAUGACGUGGAAGCGCUUAACAACAAGACAUACAUGACGUGGAGGUCCUUAAUACCAAGACAGGUAUGAUGCGGAGGCAUUCAACGCCAAAACAGAGUUACCUCGUAAAAUGGCAACUGUACAAGAAAGGGCUCAAUGAAUCGUUUAGCAUGAAGAUACCAAGUCAGUGACUGUGGUGCAGUGUAAUUACAGACGCCAGUACAGGAACAAAGUAUGGGGUAUGUUAAGGAUAUCGUGUGUUGC